AAUACCGCUAAAGAUCACUGUCGGGUAGAGAAGCUGACACCGUGACUCACCAAGGCCUCCUUCAAAAUCAAGAGAUUUUAAUCGAGAUUUUAAGUCAAGAGCUUUCUGAGAAGAGCUGAUUACCAACUCCUACCACUGUUAACCCUCAUCCAGGAACAAGCUUAUGUCUUUAACAUUCUGAGUGGGCUUCAGCAUCCUUGCAUAUGUUCAAUUCUUAAAAACCUGUUGAAAUAAAAGAUCAGGAGACAUAGGAAGGAUGCCAGAAGAGAGCGUGGCCUCACGUGUACCAGCUCUCUGCUCUCCUUUGCCUUGGGACGUUCCAUCCCUGGAAGUUUCCCUGCCCACAUCUUUGUAGAGAGUCCAUUCUCCAAGCUUCAGUGUGUCAUCUGUGAGGACCGUGACCCACCUGGUACAUCGCCUCAGGGCAUUCAUUUCAGGCUCCUUCUAAAUGGCCAAGGUAAACCUCAGGUUCUCCUCCUGCCUUUUGCUAAGUAUAUGUCUUGAUGACAAGCCUUCUGCUGAUGAGCUGUGUUUCUGGACCGAUCAUGGUAGAAGUCAAUUAACGUGUCCCUCACUUGGGGUUUCUCAAGGCUGCACUGAUGAGGAAACUGAAACAGAAAAUCCAGAGUAAAUUCCACCAGGCCACACAGCAAGGUCUGAUAGAGCCAGGAGAGACUUUAUGAAAUCCAGACUCUCACACUAAUGCUCUAUCAGCUAGACCUCCAUGUGAGUCUCCCCAAUGUAGGUAGGAAGUGCUUUCCC
rnacentral:lncRNA from 10 species